rnacentral:rRNA from 1 species
UACAGGGGGUGCAAACGUUGCUCGGAAUUAUUGGGCGUAAAGCGCGCGUAGGCGGCUACUUAAGUCGGAUGUGAAAGCCCCUGGCUUAACUGGGGAAGUGCACCCGAAACUGAGUAGCUAGAGUGCGAAAGAGGGUCGCGGAAUUCCCGGUGUAGAGGUGAAAUUCGUAGAUAUCGGGAGGAACACCAGUGGCGAAGGCGACUACCUGGCCUGUUCUUGACGCUGAGGCGCGAAAGCUAGGGGAGCAAACGGG